GAUGAAGAACGUAGCGAAAUGCGAUAAGUAAUGUGAAUUGCAGAUUUCAGUGAAUCAUCGAAUCUUUGAACGCACCUUGCGCCUUGUGGUAUUCCACAAGGCAUGCCCGUUUGAGUAUCAUUAAAUCAUCAACUCUAAAACCUUUGUGGUUUUUUUUGAGCUUGGUCUUGAGGGUUUUGCAGGCUUUUUUUUUUCGAGUCUGCUCCCUUUAAAUGCAUUAGCGAGACUUCCCUAUGCUGAACCGUCUCUUUGACGUGAUAAUUAUCUGCGUCGAAUUUUGGUUCUCGUUGGGCUUGCUUCUAAUCGUCUGUUAAAGACAAAACGGAUUUGGGUGCAUAUAUGCGCCUUUUUCCAAAACCUUUUUUGAUCUCAAAUCGGGUAGGACUACCCGCUGAACUUAAGCAUAUCAUAAGCGGAGGA
rnacentral:misc_RNA from 1 species